rnacentral:rRNA from 1 species
CGACCCCAGGUCAGGCGGGAUCACCCGCUGAGUUUAAGUAUUACAAAAUAAAUC